CCAGCUGCUCAACUCCUCGGACUUUGACCCGGUCAAGCAACAAGAGACGUAAGCUCAAUCAGUGAAGCAGCAUCUGACACCCCAACCCCAUCUUCCACACCCACACCCACACGACACUUUGUGGGAAGCAGUUGCUUGUUGCCUAGCAAAUCAGCAGUUUGCUUGCUGCUGGCAUGGUUGGGUUGUGCUCACGGUGACGCGAAGUCUAUUCGAGAAAAGACGUCGGAAAAUUAGAGAUUGGGUUUGAAAAGUUGGAUUGCGAGAGUGCUACAAUUCAAGGCAAGGAUGGCCUUCGUAGAAAGGAAUUCUUUAGAAAGUGUCACUUUAGUAGAAAAAGUUGGAGUGAAUGCUUUGGAGAAUUUUUUUAUUGUUUUGUAUUUGAUUGUUGUUUUGUUUUGUUUUUGUAGUUGAGUUUUGAAGUCCUCCAAAUUUGGAUUUUAUUUGUUGCUGAUGAAGAAGUUGAAACCAUUAUUUUGUUGGUAUCAUUAGUUGUAACAAUGUUGUAUAAAUUAGCAAAAUUUACAAAGAGUGUAUUUUUUGAGGUCACAAUAAUGUUAGUAUGCCAAUGUUAUUUGUACA